rnacentral:rRNA from 1 species
GACGAACGCUGGCGGCGUGCUUAACACAUGCAAGUCGAACGAAGUGGCGAACGGGUGAGUAACGCGUAAUCAACCUGCCCUUCAGAGGGGGACAACAGUUGGAAACGACUGCUAAUACCGCAUACUGAAGGAGGGGAUUGCGUCUGAUUAGCUAGUUGGGGGGGUAACGGCCCACCAAGGCGAGGCUCAGUAGUCGGUCGGAGAGUAGGAACGGCCAAAUUGGGACGGAGACACGGCCCAGACUCCUACGGGAGGCAGCAGGGGGGAAUCUUCGGAAAUGGAGGAAAGUCUGACGGAGCAACGCCGCGUGAGUUAUGACGGCCUUCGGGGUGUAAAGCUCUGUUAAUCGGGACGCGGUACCGGAAUAGAAAGCAACGGCUAACUACGUGCCAGCAGCCGCGGUAAUAC